AUGACAGUUGCCCAUGUUGAAUGUGAUGUUGCUCUGACACAGCCAAGUUCAGAGAUGUUAAAACCAGGAGCAUCUCUGAGCAUCAGCUGUAAAGUGUCUGGUUACUUAAUUACUGAUAGCAGCUAUGUGACGGGUUGGAUUCGACAGCCUGCAGGAAAAGCUCUGGACCUGAUCUUUAAUCUUAUGUUCGAUGGUAGCACAGCUUACAGUGAUAAACUGAAAAACAAGUUCAGCAUCUCCAGAGACACUGGAACUAACACAAUAACAUUACAAGGACAGAAUCUGCAGACUGAAGAUACAGCUGUGUAUUACUGCGCAAGACGCACACAGAGUGAUACAAACUAA